GGAGAGGUGUCCGAGUGGUCGAAGGUGCUUGACUCGAAAUCAAGUGUGGUUAAUAGCCACCGUGGGUUCGAAUCCCACCCUCUCUG
rfam:Selenomonas ruminantium strain C3 genome assembly, contig: IE42DRAFT_scaffold00002.2